rnacentral:rRNA from 2 species
GACCCCAGGUCAGGCGGGGUUACCCGC